rnacentral:tRNA from 1 species
GUUCUUGUAGUUGAGUAACAACGGUGGUUUUUCAGAUCACAGGUUUCGGUUUAAGGCUGGACAGGAAUA